rnacentral:lncRNA from 1 species
GUGUUCUUCCACCUGUCAUAAGAUAAAAAAUACCUAGACUGAUAUUGAUCAGAAAUUAUUUAAUUUCCAUAACAUUUAAUAUGAAGUUUACUUGACUUUCCCACAGUCUGGGAGCAGUGUGUGCUCCCAAACAGCUGAUGGGGGGGACCGGUGUGAGUGAGGUAAAUGUGGGCCUACACACCAACAGCAGGGCCACAGGUCACAGCCCAUGUACUGGGUGCCAGCUGCUGGAGUGUCUUAGCGUCUGAAUCUUCCCCAAACCUGGUGUGUGGGGUGUGUGUAUUUGCUGGCAAACUUCGAGGUGGACUAACCUGUGAAGCAAGGCCUUUGUGCUUACAAUGACAUGGAGAAGAAUCAUCAGCAGAGGAUGAGGAUUAAGUCAGGGCUUACCAAAGGGAACUGAACCUACACAAGUCCAGAAAUGGAAAAGGCAAAAUGUUACACAUGUGGUAAGCCAAAAUGGUUAACCUUGUAAUCUACAGUCCUCACUUUGGUCCCUGGGAAGAUAAGGCUGAGUCCUCUUGCAACACAUUUCUCAGCACACGAGGGAGAAGACAGUGUUUGGGAACAGCCUGCAUGGAUUUAUUCUGGGUAAAUCAUACCUGACUGACCCAACUGUCCUCUAUAAUAAAAGUUUGUGGAUAAGAAAAAAGCAGUGGAGGUCAUUUACCUCAACUUUAGAAGGACUUUCAACACUGCUUCUGGCAUUACUUUGUUAUGCAGGCUGAAAUGUUACCAUCUGGACAGGCAGACAACCAGACCUAUAAAAAACUGUUUGAAUGAUUGGGCAAAGAGGGUACUAAUUAGCACAUUUUAUUCUAUCUGCAUUCCAGCAGCGAGUACCACGAGGGUCUCUCCUGGGACCUGUCCUGUUUAACAUCUUCAUUGGUAAAAUCUGAAUGAGGUGAAUGGAUCGCACUCUCAUCAAGUUUGCAGAUGACAUCAGAAUGGGGGAUCAAUUGAUAUGCUCAAGGGCAAGGUGCCCAUCCAGAGGGACCUAGACAGUCUGAAGAAACUGGCCAACAGGAACCUCAUAAAAUUCAAGAGCAAAUGCUAGUCCUGCACCUGGGUAAGAAGAGCCCCUAAUAAUAUGCAGGCUGGGACAAAGCUGCAGAGCAGCUUUGCUGAGAAGGACCUGUAGGUGGUGGUAGAUGACAAGCUAGGCAUAAGCCAGUAGUGUGUCCUGGCAACAAUGGCCAAGAGCCUCCUGUGAUGUACUCACUGAAUAAUGGCCUGAAGGAUCCAUGGUAGUGAUUGUCCCUGUUUCCUAAGCACUUGUGAGACCGCAUCUAUAGUCCUGUGUCCAGUUUUGGGCCUCCUGCUUAAUACAAGAGACACAUUGACAUGCUACAGUGAGUUCUGCAGGGAGCCCCCAAGCUGAUCAGGGACUGGAGUACGUGGCCUGUGAGGAAAGGCUGACGGAACUGAAGAAGAGACUGCUUCAGUGGGGUCUAACAGCAACAAGAACUGGUGAGAUCAGUGAGACAACAAAACCAGGCUACUCACAGAUGGGCAUGGAGGGAGGAUAAGAGAGAACAGCCGUAAGUUGAAACAAGAGAAAAUCCACCAGGCUAUAACUAGAAACUUCUUCACCCCAAGGAUAGUCAAAUUAUGGGACAGGUUGUGCAGUCACCAUCCUUGAGGGUUUUCAAGACCUGACUGAAUAAAGCCCUCAUUAACUUGAUCUGACUUCAUAGCUGACUCUGCUUUAAGCAGGAAGUUGGAUUUAGAGACCUGAAUUCCCUUCCAACCUGAAUUAUUGUAUGAUCCUAUGAUUAAAGAUGAAGAACGUUGAUACUCAUGUAUGACCUUCAUCUGCUGAACAGCUACCUCACUGGAUCAAGGAGGAAAAAAUAAUAGUCUGAACAGUGAUAAAAUCCUGUACGAUCCUUUCUAUCAUUUCAUUAGGUAAUUUGCAGUAUCACUGCAUUUGGGAAUAUUAAUGCAUACACAAAAAAAAUGUCAUUAGUGCAUAUAUAAAGCCCCUGAAUGAUGAAGAAAAAGCUAAUUUCCCUUUCCAUUACUCUUUGCUCACUUCUCUCUGUCCUUAGAAUUGUUGAAGUAAUUUGGGUUACUCUAACAAAGGGAAGAUUAGACUCAUUCUAGAAACAAGUGUCAAUGAACUUGCUGAGAUAAUGGAGUGAUUUAUUAUAUUUGGUUGCUUAGAAAAUAUUAUCCUAAAUGAUUACUUGCACUAAAACAUUCUACAGUAUUGGGACUUAGGGCAUGGUGAAUAAUAUAAUAGCAGAAAUCAUACAUCUAACUUCUGUUAAUCAUAUAAAUAAAAAAUAAAAUAAAAUAAAUAAAAUAAAAUAAAAUACUGCAUGCGAUCUUUUCUAUUAUGGCAGUAAACAUCAACUCCAGAGACCCCAAUCAGUUUGAUCACCAUGAAGUAAACUUUAAUUUGGAUGUCUUUAUAUCCCAGUAAUUGAGUCCCUUAAUCUAUGGAAUAAACUUUUUCAAUUCAACUUCCUACUGGUGUAGGAAGUAGUUUAUAAGAAUGAUAUUCUAAAAAGCAUUUAAAAAUUCUAUUCUAACAAAACUAAGAUUUAAUCAUUAAGAAAUAUUUAGAAUGCAGAGUAUUCAGACUAAUUUAGCUUAUCUAUUUAUCUUACAUAAAGUUUUUACCAUGAAGAAUAGGGACAUCAUCAGCUAUUAUGUAUUCAUAUUUUAAUUGUCUUUCACUCACAAAAGAAUUUUCCUAUUUACAAAAGUACAACACAUUCUCUAUUCAUCUAUUUGCUUUCCUUACACUUUUGAGAAGCCAAAAAGCUAUUUAAAUGAAGUAUAAAAAUAAUCCCUCUAGGGGAAUAACGCUCCCAUAAGAGGUUAAUAUCUAGUAUCCUGGACACAAG